CUCAAAUGAAAUUGACGGGGGCCCGCACAAGCGGUGGAGCAUGUGGUUUAAUUCGACGCAACGCGAAGAACCUUUACCUGGCCUUGACAUGCAGAGAACUUUCCAGAGAUGGAUUGGUGCCUUCGGGAACUCUGACACAGGUGCUGCAUGGCCGUCGUCAGCUCGUGUCGUGAGAUGUUGGGUUAAGUCCCGUAACGAGCGCAACCCCUAUCCCUAGUUGCUAGCAGUUCGGCUGAGAACUCUAGGGAGACUGCCGGUGACAAACCGGAGGAAGGUGGGGAUGACGUCAGGUCAUCAUGGCCCUUACGGCCAGGGCUACACACGUGCUACAAUGGCGCGCACAGAGGGCUGCAAACCCGCGAGGGGGAGCUAAUCUCACAAAACGCGUCGUAGUCCGGAUCGGAGUCUGCAACUCGACUCCGUGAAGUCGGAAUCGCUAGUAAUCGUGAAUCAGAAUGUCACGAUGAAUACGUUCCCGGGCCUUGUACACACCGCCCGUCACACCAUGGGAGUGGAUUGCACCAGAAGUGGUUAGUCUAACCUUCGGGAGGACGAUCACCACGGUGUGGUUCAUGACUGGGGUGAAGUCGUAACAAGGUAACCGUAAAUCGAAUUCCCGCGGCCGGCAGGCGUCCGGUGCUUCGUGCGCGAUUAAUGUCGAGCGCACGGC
rnacentral:rRNA from 1 species